rnacentral:rRNA from 1 species
CGGGCUUGAAAGUUAUUGAAUGUUGUGGAAACACAACAGACUCGCAAGAGACAAGAAACUAGGUGCUGCAUGGUUGUCGUCAGCUCGUGCCGUGAGGUGUCGGCUUAAGUGCCAUAACGAGCGCAACCCCUGCUGUCAGUUGCCAUCAGGUUAAGCUGGGAACUCUGACAGGACUGCUACUGUAAGGUAGAGGAGGGUGGGGAUGACGUCAAAUCAGCACGGCCCUUACGUCCGGGGCGACACACGUGUUACAAUGGUAGGUACAGAGGGUUGCUACUAUGUGAGUAGAUGCUAAUCUCUUAAAACCUGCCUCAGUUCGGAUCGGAGUCUGCAACUCGACUCCGUGAAGCUGGAUUCGCUAGUAAUCGCGCAUCAGCCAUGGCGCGGUGAAUACGUUCCCGGGCC